rnacentral:rRNA from 1 species
UACGUAGGGGGCAAGCGUUGUCCGGAAUCAUUGGGCGUAAAGAGCGCGUAGGCGGCCCUGUAAGUCCGUUGUGAAAGUCAAAGGCUCAACCUUUGAACGCCGACGGAUACUGCCGGGCUAGAGUCCGGAAGAGGCGAGUGGAAUUCCUGGUGUAGCGGUGGAAUGCGCAGAUAUCAGGAGGAACACCAAUAGCGAAGGCAGCUCGCUGGGACGGUACUGACGCUGAGGCGCGAAAGCGUGGGGAGCGAACAGG